rnacentral:lncRNA from 1 species
CAGAAAGGACAGCUGGCCAUUUGCUGUCCUGGGGAAGCCUGUGGAAGGGCCAGGCCUGUGGAGUUGUUGUAUUUGAGAUGCUCAUUAGAAAUUAAGUGGUGAAGUUGGACUGACAAGUGGCCAGGAGACCUGUGUGGGAGUCAGCAUAGAGAUGACUUUGAAGCCACGAAACCCGAAGAGGCCACCAAGGCUUUAGGUCCCUAGAAGCUCCAGAUCAGCUGCACCUUGGCCACGGUGGGUGGCUCAGUUUCUCCACUUCCCAGCUUCCAGAUGCCACCCAUGGACACCUGCUACCUGUAGCCAGCCUCCUCCAUACCAGAUGCCUACCCAUGGGGACAAUGGUCCAUGGUGACUUGUGCAGUUUCCCAGCAGGACCCUGAGGGUUCCGAAUUCUCUAAGUGUCUAUCAGCCUU